rnacentral:tRNA from 1 species
AGCUUUAUAUUCAAUAAUGAUAUAAAAUUGCAAAUUUUAAGGAGUAAAAAUUUACUAAGGCUU